rnacentral:misc_RNA from 1 species
GAUGAAGAACGUAGCGAAAUGCGUUAAGUAGUGUGAAUUGCAGAAUUCAGUGAAUCAUCGAAUCUUUGAACGCACAUUGCGCCCCUUGGUAUCCCGAGGGGCAUGCCUGUUCGAGCGUCAUUUCACCACUCAAGCCUGGCUUGGUGUUGGGCGACGUCCCCUUUGGGGACGCGCCUCGAAACGCUCGGCGGCGUGGCACCGGCUUUAAGCGUAGCAGAAUCUUUCGCUUUGGAAGUCGGGGCCCCGUCUGCCGGAAGACCUACUCGCAAGGUUGACCUCGGAUCAGGCAGGGAUACCCGCUGAACUUAAGCAUAUCAAUAAGCGGAGGA